AUUGAACGCUGGCGGCAGGCCUAACACAUGCAAGUCGAACGAGGCGCGGACGGGUGAGUUAUGUCUGGGAAACUGCCUGAUGGAGGGGGAUCACUACUGGAAACGGUAGCUAAUACCGCAUACCAUCGGAUGUGCCCAUAUGGGAUUAGCUAGUAGGUGGGGUAACGGCUCACCAAGGCGACGAUCCCUAGCUGGUCUGAGAGGAGGAACAGCCACACUGGAACUGAGACACGGUCCAGACUCCGACGGGAGGCAGCAGUGGGGAAUAUUGCACAAUGGGCGCAAGCCUGAUGCAGCCAUGCCGCGUGUAUGAAGAAGGCCUUCGGGUUGUAAAGUACUUUCAGCGGGGAGGCGUUACCAGCAGAAGAAGCACCGGCUAACUCCGUGCCAGCAGCCGCGGUAAUAC
rnacentral:rRNA from 1 species